CCUACGGGAGGCAGCAGUCGGGAAUUUUGGGCAAUGGGCGAAAGCCUGACCCAGCAACGCCGCGUGAAGGAUGAAAUCCCUCGGGAUGUAAACUUCGCAAGAACGGGAAGAAUAAGUAAGGGUUAAUAUCUCUUACGAUGACGGUACUGUUUGUAAGCUCCGGCUAACUCCGUGCCAGCAGCCGCGGUAAU
rnacentral:rRNA from 2 species